AACAUUCGGAUAAUUUUUAUUUUUGCAUUGGCAACACUGCAAUUGAUAGACGCCAAGUUUUAUUUUGUUUUCAAAAAUGGAAUAAUAUAACUACCUUCUUGUACGUUAUUUUUUAUUUCUAUAAAAAUGGUAAUGUGUUGAGUACCCGAAUGGUGACGAUUGAUAUUGAUAUCUGAAGAACGGAGUAGAAUGAUUCAUUAAUAUGUUGGUGUGGUGCUACUUUUAUAAAGAAGAUAAAGAAAAUCCUUCCAACAUAUUUUAAAAUAGGACUGGUGAAAAUUCAGAAGAAAUGUAUUACCUACUAUGUCAUGUGUAAAUCCUAGGUUUAUAAAAUUGAAAGCAAUAUAAUAUGACUAAACAAGGAUAGAGGAUUGUGUCUUUAUAAAAUAAUGUUUAUCACAGUAUGCAAACUACAAGCAUUACACCUCGGAAAUGUUUCUCCCUGAUUCAUAAUCCUCUUGGUUUUAUUCAAAUAAUGCAUUGUAGACCUUCUACAUCUUCAGUACCAUCUGAAUGUCAACCAGAGUCAUCUCAUUCAAGGGGUAUCACACCAAGUAUGGCCCCACAAGAUCCAGAAAUGUAUUUUUUUAACAAAAGAAUACCUAGCUGAAACUGAAAUUAGACAAUUUGUCAAAUACUGAUUUUCAUUUCAGCACAUUAAGAAUGAUCACAAUUUACUGAAAAUGUACAUUGGAAUACCAACUGGAAACUUAGAAUACCAUUAUUAUGGGUGAAGUGUGGCAUUUUUAACAAAAAAAUAUCAUUUAUUUAUGACAUAGAUGCAAUUACACUUAAAUUUGCUACAGUAGAUGGACUAUUGCAAAUAUUAUUUAUACAUUGCUAAUUGUUUUACAUGAAAUUUUGUUCUUUCAGCUAUUAAAAAAUAUACCAUUACAAUUUAAAAAUAAAUUACAUUUACCUGCUA
rnacentral:lncRNA from 1 species